GGAUCGAUGAUGACUCCCACAAAUGCAUUCCUUGGAAAUCUGAACAAAAUGAGUGAGAAAUCCCUACCGUCUCCUCGUAGGAACUGAGGUCC
rnacentral:snoRNA from 1 species